GUGCUCGCUUUGAUGGCACAUGCACUAAAAAUUGGAAAAAUACAGAGAAGAUUUAACAUAGCCCCUGCACAAGGAUGACAUGCAAAUUCAUGAAGUGUUCCAUAUUUUU
ensembl:snRNA U6 U6 spliceosomal RNA